GCGGGUGUAGCUCAAUGGUAGAGCUCUAGCUUCCCAAGCUAGCUACGAGGGUUCGAUUCCCUUCACCCGCUCCA
rnacentral:tRNA from 1 species